rnacentral:rRNA from 1 species
UACGAAGGGGGCUAGCGUUGUUCGGAUUUACUGGGCGUAAAGCGCGUGUAGGCGGGCCGUUAAGUUGGGGGUGAAAGCCCGAGGCUCAACCUCGGAACUGCCUUCAAAACUGGCGGCCUGGAGCAGAUGAGAGGCGAGUGGAAUUCCGAGUGUAGAGGUGAAAUGCGUAGAUAUCUGGAGGAACACCGGUGGCGAAGGCGGCAUCCUGGACCAAUACUGACACUGAGGAGCGAAAGCCAGGGGAGCAAACGGG